CAACCCUGCCAUUUUGGAGGAGGUGCUGCAGCAGUCAUCUCGUGUGGGCCAUAGAAGACUCAAGCUCAAGCAGGGGAAGAGUGUGGAGAGAAAGGUGCUGCAGUGGGGAGCUCCAUCGAGGCCUGCUCAGAAGCUCUGGUCUGGCAGAUGUGAUGUACCAACGCUUCCUGCUCCUGCAGCGUUGCUGAUGGGCACCUGAGAGCCUGUGCACUGACUGGGAAGCAGGACUUAGGCACCUGAGUUCUGCUGAAAGCCUGGAGAGGAACAGGACAGAAAUAUCUACACCUGAAAACAAUGAUCAAAGCAAUACAAAUCCAUCCCUUUCUUAGGUGGAUUUUAAGUUCAAAAUGAGGUGUUCCUGCCUUAUCUAACUCAGGAGACCACGUCCCUGAGGACCUGACCAGCAAACUGCACUAAUGAAGUAUCCAUGUCACUUGAAGAUCUGAUUGUCAGCAUCAUAAAAAGCAGCCCUAGGAAAAGCCACAAAACAUGGCAUAACAUCCAGAAAAACUAGAAGUUGAAGAAUUUUCUGACAGAAAAUGUUCUUUUUCCCUCUGGUUUAUCAAACAGUCCAUUGCUUUUCUGGAUCACAAGAGAUGUAAGAACAAGUUCAACUUGCAUCAUCCUUCUCAGUUUCCUUAGCUGAAGUGUGACUUACAGUUGGAUGUAUCAUUACUUCGAAUCAGCUGCCAGGUUUGAUGCAGGGGUUGAAGUGAGGUCCUGACCCUGGCUCUUGCAUUGCAGACAGAAUCCCACAUUGUGAACUCUCCUGCCACCACCAAUAACAGAUGAGUGCAUGGACAUCUUAGUGACAAGUACUGGCUAGAGGGACAUUAUGUGGCACAGAGACAGGCAGACGACAUCCCCCAGGACAAGGCUCACUGAAUUCCAAGAGCCUGAAAGGAGUUAUCUCUGUUGGCACCAAGCAAAAUCACAAAGACUCUUGCAAACUCACACUGUGAAUAGUGUGAGAUUCUUUCACUUCAGUAAUGUCUCCAGCAGAGAGAAGGAGCCAAGGUUGCAGAGUAGCAGCAACGUUCCGGCCGAAACGUGAGCCGAGGAGCAUGUGCGAGGCAGCGGCACACCGUGAGGGCGAUGGGGCUGUCCCUCGCCGCUGCCGUGCAAACAGCAAAAGGAGCGACAAGUCCUGCUGCAGCCUGAGAUCUCCCCAGCACCACUCAGCCGUCUCUUGCACCUUCUUUGUUCUUAAUUUCGCCCAGCACUCGGCCCUUUCUGGGCACUGCUUCAGGUGCUCCAGCUCCACCCGUUGGAGCUGUGUCGGCAGCCAGCAGGGACACCCCCGUUUCCUGGCGCACUGACCCAUGCAGACCUGCUGAUUUCUAUGAAUGAAUGAAUGAAUCCCUUAAACAGCUACGGAGUGAGACAAUAUCUUCUUCCAUCCUUAAAGCCAGCCAAGUACACGCUUUGUUUUUAAACUGAAGUAGCUGCUCUGUCAGACAUCUCCCUGUCAGAUCCCACUCCUGUCAUCUCUUGGCAGUCCCUCCUGCAGUCACCUUGACAUCAGCUUGUAGGAACUGUCUUAUACUUGGCUUCCAAAACCUCUUCAGUCCAGAGAAUGUCAAACUUUCUUUUUCUUUUCUUUUUCUUUCUGUGCAGAACAGGCUGAACAAUGACAAAUGCAUUUUAAUGUGAAAUAAACAUUAAAAUGUUAACAGC